rnacentral:rRNA from 1 species
GAUGAACGCUAGCGGCAGGCUUAACACAUGCAAGUCGAGGGGUAGAUGUCUUCGGACAUUGAGACCGGCGCACGGGUGCGUAACGCGUAUGCAACCUACCUUGAACAGGGGGAUAGCCCAGAGAAAUUUGGAUUAAUACCCCAUGGUAUAUUGAGAUGGCAUCAUCUUAUUAUUAAAGUCACAACGGUUCAAGAUGGGCAUGCGUCCCAUUAGUUAGUUGGUAAGGUAACGGCUUACCAAGACAAUGAUGGGUAGGGGUCCUGAGAGGGAGAUCCCCCACACUGGAACUGAGACACGGACCAGACUCCUACGGGAGGCAGCAGUGAGGAAUAUUGGUCAAUGGGCGCAAGCCUGAACCAGCCAUGCCGCGUGCAGGAUGACGGUCCUAUGGAUUGUAAACUGCUUUUAUACGGGAAGAAACAGAGGUUCGUGAACCUCCUUGACGGUACCGUAAGAAUAAGGAUCGGCUAACUCCGUGCCAGCCGCCGCCGUAACAC